GAUGAACGCUGGCGGCGUGCCUAAUACAUGCAAGUCGAGCGAACAGAUGAGAAGCUUGCUUCUCUGAUGUUAGCGGCGGACGGGUGAGUAACACGUGGGUAACCUACCUAUAAGACUGGGAUAACUCCGGGAAACCGGGGCUAAUACCGGAUAAUAUUUUGAAUCGCAUGGUUCAAUAGUGAAAGACAGUUUCGGCUGUCACAUAUAGAUGGACCCGCGCCGUAUUAGCUAGUUGGUAAGGUAACGGCUUACCAAGGCGACGAUACGUAGCCGACCUGAGAGGGUGAUCGGCCACACUGGAACUGAGACACGGUCCAGACUCCUACGGGAGGCAGCAGUAGGGAAUCUUCCGCAAUGGGCGAAAGCCUGACGGAGCAACGCCGCGUGAGUGAUGAAGGUCUUCGGAUCGUAAAACUCUGUUGUUAGGGAAGAACAAAUUUGUUAGUAACUGAACAAGUCUUGACGGUACCUAACCAGAAAGCCACGGCUAACUACGUGCCAGCCGCCGCUGUAA
rnacentral:rRNA from 1 species